rnacentral:rRNA from 1 species
UUUAUGCCGGCGACCGGCGCACGGGUGAGUAACACGUAUGCAACCUGCCCGUCUCAGGGGGAUAAUCGUCGGAAACGGCGUCUAAUACCCCGUAUGAAGCUGGACGGCAUCGUCUGGUUUUGAAAGAAUAUCGGAGACGGAUGGGGAUGCGUUCCAUUAGUUAGUUGGCGGGGUAACGGCCCACCAAGACAACGAUGGAUAGGGGUUCUGAGAGGAAGGUCCCCCACAUUGGAACUGAGACACGGUCCAAACUCCUACGGAAGGCAGCAG